CAGCAGCCACGGUAAUACGUAGGUGGCAAGCGUUAUCCGGAAUUAUUGGGCGUAAAGCGCGCGCAGGCGGUUUCUUAAGUCUGAUGUGAAAGCCCACGGCUCAACCGUGGAGGGUCAUUGGAAACUGGGGAACUUGAGUGCAGAAGAGAAAAGCGGAAUUCCACGUGUAGCGGUGAAAUGCGUAGAGAUGUGGAGGAACACCAGUGGCGAAGGCGGCUUUUUGGUCUGUAACUGACGCUGAGGCGCGAAAGCGUGGGGAGCAAACAGGAUUAGAUACCCCUGUAGUCCCUGUCUCUUAUAC
rnacentral:rRNA from 1 species